rnacentral:tRNA from 1 species
CUGGAUAGCUCAGUUGGGUAGAGCAUCGGUUCAACACCGAGAGUCGCGGGUUCGAAUCCCGCUCCAAACCA